CCUACGGGUGGCAGCAGUGGGGAAUAUUGCACAAUGGGCGGAAGCCUGAUGCAGCGACGCCGCGUGCGGGAUGAAGGGCCUCUGCGUUUAAAGCUCUGUUAGCAGGGGAGAAAAUGACGGUACGUGAAUAAGAAGCCACGGCUAACUACGUGCCAGCACCCGCGGUAAUACGAAGGUGGCAAGCGUUGUACGGAUUUACUGGGGGUAAAGGGGGUGGAUCCUGGUGGACAAGUAAGAUGGGAAAUGCCGCGGCUCAACCGCGGAACUGCCUUUGAUACUCGUUCACUAGAGUAAAGUAGCGGUAAGCGGAAUGUCUUGUGUAGCGGUGAAAUGCGGAGAUAUAAGGAAGAACACCAGUGGCGAAGGCAGAUGACUGGACGUCAACUGACGGUGAGGCACGAAAGCGUGGGGAGCAAACAGGAUUAGAUACCCGAGUAGUC
rnacentral:rRNA from 1 species